rnacentral:rRNA from 1 species
UAGGGAAUUUUCGUCAAUGGGCGCAAGCCUGAACGAGCGAUGCCGCGUGAGUGAAGAAGGCCUUCGGGUCGUAAAGCUCUGUUGCGGGGGAAAAAAAGGCAGCAUCAGGAAAUGGGUGCUGACUGAUGGUGCCCCGCCAGAAAGUCACGGCUAACUACGUGCC